rnacentral:rRNA from 1 species
CCUACGGGGGGCAGCAGUGGGGAAUAUUGCACAAUGGGGGAAACCCUGAUGCAGCGACGCCGCGUGAGUGAAGAAGUAAUUCGUGAUGUAAAGCUCUAUCAGCAGGGAAGAAAAUGACGGUACCUGAGUAAGAAGCCCCGGCUAACUACGUGCCAGCAGCCGCGGGAAUACGUAGGGGGCAAGCGUUAUCCGGAUUUACUGGGUGUAAAGGGAGCGUAGACGGCAGUGCAAGGCUGGAGUGAAAGGCGGGGGCUCAACCCCCGGCCUGAUCGGGAAACUGUACGGCUGGAGUGCGGGAGAGGUAAGUGGAAUUCCUAGUGUAGCGGUGAAAUGCGUAGAUAUUAGGAGGAACUCCAGUGGCGAAGGCGGCUUACUGGACUGUAACUGACGUUGAGGCUCGAAAGCGUGGGGAGCAAACAGGAUUAGAUACCCUUGUAGUC